UGUGAAGUAACACUCACUUAUUCAUGUUUGUUUGUUUGUUUGUUUUUAUUUCGCUGUAUUUUAUUUUAUUUUAUUAUUGCUUUCCCAUAUCUCUUUGUAUUUCAAUAAGAAAGAGAAAGACAGAGUGAGGAAUCAGAAGGGUUAGAUGCUAGGGAGGAUCUAGGAAAACAUAUUGUAUGAAAAUUUUUAUAAUAAAAAAUGUCUUCUGUAAGUUUACUCUAAAUAAAUCUAUAGGACAUCAUUUUGAUUAAUGAUUGCUUUGUUACUGCCUCCCCCUGGUAUUGGGCCAACUCUAGAAACCAUAGUCCUGGGUUGUAUUUAAAAGCAGGGUGAGGACGUGGGCAAGCACCAGCACCAUCACUCUAGGGUCUCUGCUUCAGAUCCUGCCUUCAGAUUUAUGCCUUAAAUUCCUGCCCAGACAUGCCUCAUUAAUGGACUUUGACAAAGAGUUGUCAGAAGAAAUAAAUUCUUUCCACUCAUGAAAAAGAAAUCUAAAAAAGAAAAGAAAAGAAGAGAAAAUAAAAGAAAAAAAAGAAAAAAGAAUGCAGGAGAUAAUUUUAAGUUCAGCCAAAAAUGGCACAUUUACAUUACUCCCCCAAGCACCAAGAAUCAAUGACAUUGCUGAUGAAAAGGCAAACAGAUUUCUAGAAACUGCAACAUGUGUGAAGUUUUAUGAAACACAGUCUUCAGGGUGUCAGAACUAUGGACUGACAGCAGCUAUGGGUACUUGAGAUGACCUACAGGAGAUCCAGCCCCAAUCUGACAUAGAGGAUAUAGAUUAUCUCCAUCCCCAUCCCCCCAUAAUGAGGAAGUAUUAGCCAUUGAAAGUUACUGCAGGGCUCAGUUACUUUUUUUUUUUCUUUUGAGUAACUAACAGAUAGGUUAGUAUUCUCCUGCUCCAGUGGAUGGCCUACCACACAUAAAUUUAUGGGCAGAACCAGCUGGACUUUAUAGCUUAUGUUUUAUAAAAGCAUGAAGUUAGAACCACUUAGGAAGAAAUAAAGGGAUUAGAUAGGAUCAUCUUUACAUUUGCAUAUACAAUUCUCAAAGUUAAAGGUAAGUUUUAGAAUUAUUUGAAUUUUUGAUGGGAGAUAUACUUUGCAUGGAGUAACACAAUCAAUGAACCUUCACAACCAAGUUGAUCGCAUGUGUGGACUUUCAGGAAAGGCUUAGAAAAGCCCCAGGGUUAAUGUUCACCUGAGUACUUCAGUGGUAGGAAAAACCUGUCCAUUGUAGGAAAAUAAUGCCAAAUGUCUGCCUAAUGUCUGAGAAGCAGUAUACACACUUUUCUCAUAGCUUUUAAAAUUAUUCCAUAGAUUAUGUUUUGGGAACGUUAAAUGAAGGAGAGUGCUAUUAUACUUUGGGAAACAUUCACAAAUACAUACAUGUAUAUCAUCUCAGAAUGCUUCUUUAAAGGCUGGCAUUUUAAAACUAUUUGAAAUUAUUUCAAUUGCCUUAUAACACUUAAAAAUCAUAUUAGUAUUAUUUCAAAUAUUCAUUAGCUAGAAUUGGGUAUAGGAAACUUUAGUAAUUUAGAGUUGGUACGCUGUAAAUAUAAACACUUUCUCUCAAGAAAGAAGUCUUUUUUUGACAUUGAUGAGAGAACUGUAAGUUAACCAGUCAGUCUGAGUCUUUGGCAUUAGUUGUCACUAAGUACACUUCUUAAAUGUCUUGUGCUAUCCUAAACUGAAAUUUACUAAUAAGUUGUAAUGUAGUCACAAUUAAAUCAUAUAUAUACAUACUUAUUACCAUAAUGUAUUAAUUUUCUGUAAAAUCAUAGCUUAUUUUAGAACAGAAAUUUAUGUAAAUAGUCAAAAACAUACACAACCUGGAACCAAAUAAGUUCAUUUACUUC
rnacentral:lncRNA from 1 species